rnacentral:lncRNA from 1 species
UUUCUAUGAUUCUAUUCUAUGAAUUAUUCCCUUCUUUUCUAAAUGUCCCUGACCAAUUGUGAUCUGUUUUAGGACCUUUCCUGUUAUCAGUGUUGAACUGAUCGGUCGAUAGUUGUCUGGAUUCUAACCUUUUCUUUCCCUUUUUUGAAACAGGGCCAUUUGUCCACCUUUAUUUGUCUAAAAGAGAGGGAAAAUAUAUAAUUUAAUAGAAAAAAAUUAGAAUAUUCAUUGAACUGUAGGUGUUCAGAAUUGGCUUCUCAGAACUCACUGGUGUCUGUGGUCAGAGAAAUUGGCCGGACAGUUCACUAAAUUUUGUCUAAGGAACAAAUAAAUUCUUCAGCAUUUUCUCAGAAGUGAAGGUCGUCAUUGGUAUCACUUUGUUCUUUUUCUGCCUAAGGAUGUUUUGAUUUUGACACUGCCUCUGCAAAUGACAAGAAUGGCAACUGUGUUGAAAGCCUGGCCACCGUUUGGCUUCUGCCACAAUAAUCUUUGUCUUGUGUCAUUCUAGGGUGUGGCAAGUGGGGCGAUGAAUUGGUUGCUAAAUGGGAGCCUGUCUGGAAAAAGAGAGACUGACUGAGAAACCAGAGUGUCACAUGCUGAGUUGAAAGGGCUGCUUCAUCUAAAUCUUGAAUCUCAACUACUGUAUUGCCUCCUCCCUGAAGUCUGAUUAUACUGUCUUUCUGAGCUCUGUUGACAACUUCAGAGAGUCUUGGGGACAAUUUUUUUUACCAUCAAGAUUCAUCAGAAAUUACAACAAACUAACAAAUGAGCAAAAUCUCUCCCCCUCCCAAAAGGAAAAUCAAAUAUUACUGCAAAGUCAAGCCCAGUUGCAUUUUUGUGGAUCUGAACUGUGGGGAUUGGUUGGGGUCUGUUUUCUUCUUUUCUUUUGCAGAUGUUUUUGUCAACUGCAGGACACAUGGGAGCACAAAAACAGCCUUGGGGGAGCCAUAACCCAGGAUGCAGUUUGUACAUACCUGCUGUGUUGCCUGACUAACAAAACUUUGCACAGUCUGGAACUUCACAGGAAUUGUCUAUAUGUUGAUUCUUGCAUGCUUGGUACAACUCCACUUGCGAAAUAG